CAGUCGCCGCGGUAAUACAGAGGGUGCAAGCGUUAAUCGGAAUUACUGGGCGUAAAGCGCGCGUAGGUGGUUUGUUAAGUUGGAUGUGAAAGCCCCGGGCUCAACCUGGGAACUGCAUCCAAAACUGGCAAGCUAGAGUACGGUAGAGGGGGGUAGAAUUCCAGGUGUAGCGGUGAAAUGCGUAGAGAUCUGGAGGAAUACCGGUGGCGAAGGCGGCCCCCUGGACAAAGACUGACGCUCAGGUGCGAAAGCGUGGGGAGCAAACAGGAUUAGAUACCCGCGUAGUCCCUGUCUCUUAUAC
rnacentral:rRNA from 1 species